rnacentral:sRNA from 1 species
CUCUUCACCAUGUCCCGCUCGCUCUUCAUCCAUUCAGCUAACGUUUCCCAGCCGCAGAGGGACGUUUGACAGACACCUUUCUUCCCUCUUUUGCCAGACUACCGCUGGACGCUGACCGCUUUGCAGCCUUUUCGCGUAUACGCAAGGUAAGAAGUUCUGCCCAUAGCGGGUUUGAAGGGAUCUUGCCCACAAGACCCUGAAGGACUUCCAUCCUAUACGCGUGAUCCAUCAGUAUCCGGGAAAUGCGACGGAUUGCAAGCCAAAAUGUAAAGGAAAACUCACCAUCCCGCCUUGGCCAUAUCCGUAUCAGCCAUGAACAUGAUUCCUUCCCCAUCCUUAAAUUCAAUCAUAAAGCUCCUCGGUCUCUGACCAAAACCUUCAUCCGAAUCCCUCGGGCGCAUUGUCAUCUUUGACUUGGGCGUACCCGGCUGAUCCUCGUUGAGAUCUAUGAUGGACACUGCUUGACGGAGGUCAAUCAUGGCUACUUUUUUCUUGGUAACUUCGUUGAUUGCUACGAGAUUACCACCGAUGAUCUUGAACAAACGCCUUUUAGGGUUCUUCAUAGGGAAAACAGUCAGCUACCUUCCUUCCAGCCUCGCUCAAUGGAUCGAUUGAUUGUUUUCUUGACUCACGUUCAAAUCCCCACCAUCUUGGGUCAACACUCCAUCGUAAUACUCAUGUUCAUGCCAAGCAUGGUGCCUCAACCCUCUCAGACAGUCAUCAAUACACUGUGGCAACUCGUCCGCAUUCAAACCAGGAAUAGGUGGCAACCUGAACACUUGUAACGUAAUCUUUGCCAAUGCUCUCCUCGCACCUUCAGCUUCUUUGCUGCCACCUGAUCCACCUGAUCCUAACGACCCAAUAUUACUAGCAUCGCCCUUAAACAUUGCAAACAUCGGGUAACGAAUUUCAAGUACGCGGGCUUCACAAUUCUUGGCAAUAGUCUUGAACUGGAUAUGCGUCUUUGCAAUCGUGCCAUUUGUUGAGUCGAGGAGAUAAUUGGCGAUGGUCUCCUUUUUCGCGACUGUGGAUGUAGAAGCCGGAGCUGCGAGCCUCACGUCUUUUUUGGGCGCAGCACCUUUCGGUACAGGACCUUUGGGUUUACGAGGAGAUCCGAAAAGAGCACGGAAGUGACCUCCAUGGGCCUUGGCCGGUGAAGCCGGAGCAGUUGGCCGUGGUGGGUUGUUUUUCUCGUGGAUGAGUUUGAGGAUGUGGGGAUCGCGGCGGAUAUCGAUGGAAAGAGAAAACUCAAAACUGGGGUGUUCCACUCUACACCCACAUCAGUAGACGUUCUCCAGCUGGUUAUGAAAAGAAAAACCCACAAACUGAACUCUUGAUUCACCCUCGCACUUUCUUUCAGCACCGAAUAAGGCGUCUUGAUGUAGUCAAUCCCAUUAUCCAGGGUAAUACAAAAGUGCGUUUGUUCUUGCGGGAUGGGAAACUGGACACCCUCAAUACCAAGUACUUUGACAAAGAUGGUACCGGUAGCCUUUCCGAGUUCAGUUUCACGCUCUCGCAUUGCCUUAAUAGCUGCCGCGUGCUCGUGCUGGUACAUUAUAGUCAGCUCAUAGGACCGUACUACAUCUCCGGAAAAAGCCAACUCACAAGGUCGGAUGGUCGUCUGAGGGCUUUCCAGGCUUUACCAACUUCGAGGUUACCGGCAUUACUAUGGGCUAUCUUGCCGUUGUAUGAAGCCCGUACAACAGGUAGUUCUCGAACCUUGUACCCUCGCUUUGUUACUAGCAUCAAGGAUCGACCUCUCUUCGUCAUCAAUCCCUAACGUCAGCCUCGGGUUUCCUCUGGUACCCCUCCUCGCUGCCACCCCCGAAGGAGUCCCAUUGUUAUCGGCAUUAGGAGGACCCAUCAUGACUCCUCCUACUCUUUCUCGAGCCCACACUAAUUGCGCUGACGGCACUCGCUGUGCUAACCUGGCGAUCCCUAUCCUGGCGACGUUUGGCAAUGAUUGCUUGCUCUCGUGCGGUAGGUCCAUCUUUCGAGGACUGUGUACCGCUGAAGCUGGACCGAGGGGAGAUGGAUGUUUCCGAAAUCGGACGGACAUUGUUACUAACUCGCCUUUUGGAUACCGGCGAUCCAGGACCAACUUCAAACUCCUCUGCCUUGGAGUUUGCGUCAAGUAACCCGUUGGGAUUUCUCAAGAUACCAGCCGGCUUAUCUAUUUCCUUUCCGGGGGUUGGUACACGAGACAUCGCAGCAGCAAUUGUCCCACUUACAUCUCUCUCCAUUUUCUCUCCUCCCUCCUUGUUCCCCCCAGCAUCCCGACGUACAAGUGCAACAAUCUUGUCCAAAGCAGAUUUGGCUUCACCACCUUCACGUUCAGACUGCUUGAAAACCUCAUGGGCAGACUGGGUCUGGCUUCGGGGUCGCAUACCGGGUCGUUCGGCAGAAUGGGAUUGAGAUUGGGGACAAGUAACGCGGCCGAGUAUUUCAGAUUUGGGUCUGGGCUUGCUAGGAGUUGAAGGUGCACUCGAGACCAUAGCAGGCGAUUCUGCAGGGGGUGGCGGCAGGUCCUUAUCCAUUGACACUCUCCUAUUUCUCUUCAUCUCGAAAUCACCCAAACUCGUCCUUGAAAAGCUCUUUGACAAGGUAUCCAUGUCCAUACUAGCUGGGCGGCGGCUGAGGCUGCCAUCAGCGAUACGCUGUUGGAUCGUCUCGCGAAUCAUUUCACGUGAAAUGCGUUGACGAAUACGAUUUGUAGUCGAGUCAUGCGUCGUCUUCUUUUCUUGGGAUUGGGAUUUUAAGGGAGAAGGCGAAAAGUCGCUUGCAGAGUUCGAGGUGAUCUUCGGAAUGUCUUCUUUGGUCGCUCUUUCCACUUCAAUAGGCGCCGUCACCUCCUUCUGCUCGACAGAGCUCACCCCGAAGGGAAUGGAUUCAGAUUUGACAACCUUUUCGCCUUUAUUGGCAGCAGAGUCAAAGUUGAUGGUUUCAAAAUAGAAGUUGAACUCUGGCAACCUGUGCGGGCUUUCUGGUUUGGUCGCUUCAACUGUAGAACGAGGAGUAGGCGGUGUGAGAGGACGAUCAAUAUCGUCACUUACGGACUCGGAUUUGGAGUCAAUACCAGAGAUAGAUGGAGAUGUAGCUCGCUCUUCGAGAGGCUGAACAGCCUGUUCAAAAGUCGGCGCAGAAUUGAAGAAGGGGGAGGUCUUAUCAAUGUCUGGCAGACUGAAUCCGCCAACAACUAAUUUGUUCUCCUUUAUAUAUGUUAGCGAAUACAGCCAGCCACGGCCUGCCAAAAAACUCACUUCAAUCUCUUUCUGAGGGCUCAUCACAGGACUCGGUACUUCAACAGGCAUCGGCGCAGGAGGAGGAACUUUUGGCAACUUCCUGAUGGGCUUCUCUUCUACCACUUCUUCUUCUCUCCAUUCAAACACUGGCUCAGACUCUGACAAAGGAGAAGUGGGAGGGGAUGAAGUAGGGACAGAUCUGUUCGGCCUGCCAGGCAUACCCAAACCCAGUUCUCUAGUUGCCAACAUCCUCGCAGCCAGAACUCUAUCUUUAUGACUUGUCCUUCCCAGUGGCACACCAUCCUCUUCUCGGUUCUUAGAUUCUUCGGAAGGCAGAAUGGUUUUGGUUGCCGUUUGAAGAGUGAUAAAUGGAUCAGGCAAGGGACCAGAUUGGUGUGCGUGAGGUUCUGGCCCUUGCUGACUCUUUGGCUCCGGGGCGCGAGAGGAUAGGGAAGGUGUAACUGACGCGAAAGGAUCGUUAUAGUCAUGAUAGAAUGAAGGAGAGGUAGGAGUGAUGGGAGGAAGGAUUGAUGGCUGAGCCGCAUUGGCAUUGAAAAGCAUACGAUGUUCUUGAGCGUGCGGAAGGCUAGGUUGCUCUAUAGGAAUAUGUAAAACCGUCUUGUGCGCCUCGGCAGCACGCUCAGCGUGGUGCGUGCGGCCAUAAGGAAUCCCAGCUGAAUCAGUCUCGCUAAAGACGUCGUGGUUCCCAAACAGUGGCGAGGCAUGAACCGAGUCACCGAGACUUGGUGUAGCUAAGUAUGGUCUAUCAGACUCAUUCUCAGCCUCGGUGAAAGAAGUCUCGAGAGGAAUUUCAAACGCUGCUUGAUCUUGGAAUGCCGGAGUGUCCAUCUCGGGAGGAGAAAACAGACCUUCUUGCACAAGUGUGUCCAUAAAGUCGGCAGUGGUAGACUCGUUAUGCUGAGCGUCAUGAUCGUCAUGCGACUCUUGUUCGAUUUGUUCAUUUGGAGACACGUUCUCCUCCUCGAUGAGUAGAUCAUCCAAGCUAUUCUGGCGCUCAUCCUCCCAAUCCGCCUCAUCCUCCAUCUCUACGUCGAAACUUCCAUCGGCACUAGGUUCAGCACUAAGAAUUUCAUACUCCUUGACAUCGGGGGUAGGUUGAAACGUGACCGUCUUCUUCGAAGGACUGUCGUAGCCUUGGGAUGCACGACGAGGCCCGCGCAAACGACGAGAAGGUGUCAAGGCAGACUUCUGCGCUGUAGGAGUAGGCAUAGGCUCAAGAUCGGCAUGGUAAGAUGCAGAAAGCUGCUCGCGGAGAGGAGAAAGUCCAUUAGGUGGAGGCGCGAGAAAGACAUUUGAAGCCACAGAGCGAGGAGAGGAAAAUGUGGGCGAUCGGUGAGCCAUGGAACCGAGAGUACCAGGGGAAGCGCGACGUUGUUUGCCACCUGAAAUUCGCCUUGGAGAAGGUGACGAAAAGACGUCGUCCAUCUCGACGGGAACCGUUCCAGGAGCCGCAGAAGCAGCUUCAUCUGCUUGGUUGUCAGAAGCAGCGGACAAGCCACUAGGUGACUUUUUAAAAGGCGACUUGCUGACAUAGCUCCCUUCAACGAGUCCCUUGAGACCCAUACUAGCCCUUGGCAAUCUCUUGCCGUAUCUGACAUCUGGACUCUCAUUCUCCUUGCUCCCGGAAACAUCGCGCUCGCCAGACGAUCGACGUUCACCAUUCGACACAGGAAAAGCAACUCGUGGACGUUCGCCGGAGACUUUACGUUGACCGUUGACAGCCGCACCACCACUGGGUGAUCGGCUUCCACUUCUCUUAGCAGAUAUCCCAAGACCAAUCACCGUCUUUGGCGUCGAUCCAACACCUCUCGCGCUUGGCGCUACUUCUCCCAACU